rnacentral:rRNA from 1 species
AAAUUGAAGAGUUUGAUCAUGGCUCAGAUUGAACGCUGGCGGCAGGCCUAACACAUGCAAGUCGAACGGUAACAGGAAGCAGCUUGCUGCUUCGCUGACGAGUGGCGGACGGGUGAGUAAUGUCUGGGAAGCUGCCUGAUGGAGGGGGAUAACUACUGGAAACGGUAGCUAAUACCGCAUAAUGUCGCAAGACCAAAGAGGGGGACCUUCGGGCCUCUUGCCAUCGGAUGUGCCCAGAUGGGAUUAGCUUGUUGGUGGGGUAACGGCUCACCAAGGCGACGAUCCCUAGCUGGUCUGAGAGGAUGACCAGCCACACUGGAACUGAGACACGGUCCAGACUCCUACGGGAGGCAGCAGUGGGGAAUAUUGCACAAUGGGCGCAAGCCUGAUGCAGCCAUGCCGCGUGUAUGAAGAAGGCCUUCGGGUUGUAAAGUACUUUCAGCGGG